rnacentral:rRNA from 1 species
GACGAACGCUGGCGGCGUGCCUAACACAUGCAAGUCGAACGGAGAUUAUAGCAAUGUAAUCUUAGUGGCGGACGGGUGAGUAACGCGUGGGCAACCUACCUCUAACCCGGGGGAUAACACAGGGAAACUUGUGCUAAUACCGCAUAAGAUCAUAGGAGGACAUCCUCUAGUGAUCAAAGGAGAAAUCCAGUGAGAGAUGGGCCCGCGUCCGAUUAGCUAGUUGGUGAGAUAACAGCUCACCAAGGCAACGAUGGGUAGCCGAACUGAGAGGUUGAUCGGCCACACUGGAACUGAGACACGGUCCAGACACCUACGGGUGGCAGCAGUAGGGAAUAUUGGGCAAUGGGCGAAAGCCUGACCCAGCCAUGCCGCGUGAGUGAUGAAGGUCCUAGAGAUUGUAAAACUCUUUUCUGAGGAAAGAAUAAAUAGGGAAGGAAAUGUCCUUAUUUUGACGGUACCUCAGGAAUAAGGAACGGCUAACUCCGUGCCAGCAGCCGAC